rnacentral:rRNA from 1 species
UACGUAGGGUGCAAGCGUUGUCCGGAAUUAUUGGGCGUAAAGAGCUCGUAGGCGGUUCGUCACGUCGGCUGUGAAAUCCCGAGGCUCAACCUCGGGUCUGCAGUCGAUACGGGCGGACUUGAGUACUGCAGGGGAGACUGGAAUUCCUGGUGUAGCGGUGAAAUGCGCAGAUAUCGGGAGGAACACCGGUGGCGAAGGCGGGUCUCUGGGCAGUAACUGACGCUGAGGAGCGAAAGCGUGGGGAGCGAACAGG